UACGGAGGGGACUAGCGUUGUUCGGAAUUACUGGGCGUAAAGCGCACGUAGGCGGAUUUGUAAGUCAGGGGUGAAAUCCCGGGGCUCAACCUCGGAACUGCCUUUGAUACUGCAAAUCUCGAGUCCGGAAGAGGUGAGUGGAAUUCCUAGUGUAGAGGUGAAAUUCGUAGAUAUCGGGAAGAACACCCGUGGCGAAGGCGGCUCUCUGGGACGGUACUGACGCUGAGACGCGAAAGCGUGGGGAGCGAACAGG
rnacentral:rRNA from 1 species